CAUAUAUGUAUGUGCUUUCGUAGCUUUCAAGUGAAAAAUUAAAUUGUAAUGUAUCGAAGUAUAAGUUACUGUAUCAUUAUUGUAUAAUGAUUUGAUACCGACUUGGUAUUAUUCGUUCCUUAAUUUAUCUAUGUAUUGUGUAUGCCGUGUGGUACACAACUGAGGAGACAUUUGUGAGAAACUGUAAAUAUUAAGUAAGAUCGUGUGGACACAGGGUUUGUCACCUGAACAUGUAUUGUACUGUUAUUGGGUACUAGAUUCUAUAAUUGUUACAUUAUUUCAAUUUCACAUUUAUACGGGGUUAUAUCCUUUGCAACAUUGUUGUAAUAUGUAUGUACUAUGUAUAUAUAAUUUUGUAUGAGAUCCUGUAGAGCACCAUUUACUGGUGGAAUAGAGCCUAGAAAACAAAACAAAACAAUAAACAAUAAAAAACAAUUAAUAUGAAUUUGUGGCGCUGGUGCGCAUGUCGGGCGUCUUUCGUCUGCCCGGGAAGUUGUAUUUUGGGGAGCGGGAGUCCGGGACUGCAGGUGGCUCACUGACUGUCCGCCCAGCCACCGGCUCAUCACCUGGACCCUGCUCUUGUUUAGUGCUUGACUGGCCAGGGAUCCCUACACGAGUGCUGUUACUACUUGCUGAUGCCUGAUGGGCUUUGUGUGACCAAGUUGAUCUACGGAUGCAGGGCCAGGGAGCUGUUGUGACAUUGCUGGUUACCACUCGCCUGAGGGCAUAGGCUGAGGCUGGGGGCACGUGGCACUGUCUGUCCGCCCGGCCACCGGCUCACCGCCUGGACCCUGCUCUUGUUUAGUGCUUGACUGGCCAGGGAUCCCUACACGAGUGCUGUUACUACUUGCUGAUGCCUGAUGGGUUUUAUGUGACCAAGUUGAUCUAUGGAUGCAGGGCCAGGGAGCUGUUGUGACGUCACCGGUUACCACUCUCCCAAGGGUAUAGGCUGACACUGAGUAAUUUGCGUGAUAAUACAUUAUUAUUUACAUCUGUAUGAUUGAUUGUUCAAUAAAUCGGAGUUCUAACCUAUUCUAAAAUCCAUGUACCCUAAGUUGAGUCAUGGGAAUGUGUUAUUGCCAGUCAUGUUUAUCACUUGGCUCAUUAAGGAUAGUUAAUCACGGAGGACGUCCUCCCACAGGUAUAAUGACAAGUCUGAAGGUAAAUGGUGAGUGUUGUAGGUGGCAUUUGGUAUUUGGUAAAUUUACAUGGUGAAAUUCUGCUAUAUAUUGCCCAUUGAUGCUUGUUGGGAUAACUUGCAGCUAAUGUGUUAUUAUAUUUAGUUGACAUAUAUUUGUGGAUCAUUUGGUAUUUGGUAAAUUUACUUGGUGAAAUUCUGCUACAUAUUGCCCAUUGAUGGUUGUUGGGAUGACUUGCAGCUAAUGUGUUAUAUUUAUUUGACAUAUAUUUGUAUAUUAUUGGUAUAUACCUGUGCAGGGCGAUGUAUUACUGAUUGUGGUGAGUGAUGUUAAGUGAUUGUGUUGGAUUGCCUUGGCUGAUGGUGUUGACUGAUGAGCUAACUGUGUUGUGCAAUGCAUUGACUAUAUCAAUCUCCCUAGGUUGAAUACAAUUUCUGCAAUAAAGAACCAAGUAUACAGUGGGCCUUUCCUACCCCCACGGACAAGACAAUUCAACAGUGAAGAGCCGUGGAGAAACUGGUCAAGGAACAUGUAACCGCAAAGCGAACCUUCAUGAGGAAGGCCAACGUCCUGAAGACCAGGAUCUGCAGUGGAGACCAGUCACCAUACUGCAAGAUCUUCGGACUCAACUCAACGCCGCAUUUGGUGAGGUGGAAACUGUUCACAAUAAUUAUGUAUGGUCAUUAGUGGAGAGUGCUGCGACGACUUCGACCCAGAUAGGGAAGACCUUUAUCUUGUGGACAUUGAAAAUACCAAGUUGAGUUUGGAAGCUGAGAUCAUUAGGUUGGCAAAGAAGGAAUCAAAAUCUGAGGGUCAAGGUGAAAGCGUUUUAAAGGUAAAAUCAUUAACUCCACCCACGUUUUCUGGCAACAUCAGAGAGUAUGGGACAUUUAAGAAAGAUUACUUGAGACUAAUGCACCCUGUGUAUGGUGAUGAUCCCUAUGUCUUGGUGGUGAGGCUCUUGAGUGGGUUAAAGGAGUAGACGAUUAUGAUAGAAUGGUGUUAAGACGAUGAGAAAUAUGGUAACGUUGCUAAACUUAUUGGGCAUGAUCUAAAGAGGUUGAAACCAGUAGGCGAAGGUGACUCUGCAAAACUGAUUCAUUUGAUAUUUUUAGACUUGCAAAAGGUUGGAGUGAAAAAUGAAAUGGGUUCCAUGUACAUGAUUUCUAUGAUUGAAAAACUUUUACCAAGCAGCAUACAACACCAGUGGGUCCGCAAGGCUCAACAGGUAAAUGAUCCAGACAAUCUUUUGCGAGAGUUCAUUGAUUUCCUUUUGAUGGAGAGGAAUGUGUGCAUUUAAUUGUAAUCUGAUAUCCGCUCCAACCUUCAGCGAGCCACUUCUAACAUAACUAAUGUUGAUAAAGUGAGUGAGGAAAAAAGUGAGCUUUGUGAAUUGGUAGAAACCUUAAAAGAACUGAGAUCCUCACAGUCUCUCAUUGUGAAUGGUCUCAACAAUAUGACUCAGUUAGUGCUGAAUUCUCAGCCAGGGAACAAUGGGAAGAGAUGUGUGUAUCAUGAUACGGACACGCACCAAACAGCGGACUGUAAUGGUUUCAGUAGGAUGAGUGUUUCAGAUAAAUUUAAAUUGAGGCAAAAGGGAGCUUGUUUCAAGUGUCUUAUUGUUGCACGUCACACAGCCAAAACCUGUAAAAGCUAAGUGAAAUGUGGGAUUCUUGACAACGGUGUUCAGUGCACUGCAGAUCAUCAUCCUAGCUUACACAACAUGUUCGGGAAUCCCUGGCAAACGUCUCUUCCUACAGCUGUUAGUAAUCUGGCAUCACGUGAAGGGUUAUUGUUAAUGAUUGGAAGUACUUCUUGCAAGGGAGAACACUUAACUACACUGUAUGAUCCAGGUUCUAACAUCUCUCAUCCAUACCGACUGUGCCAAGCGAUUAGGGUUGCACGGCAAGGAAAUUUUUCUUGACAUAACUAAAGUUGGGAACCAAAAGGAGACUGUUAACUCUCGGAUGUAUGAUGUGCCCUUUGUGGACUUGGAGGGAAAUGCUUGUUGUAUAUCGGCAUGUGGCAUCGAUGAGUUGACAGCCUCAGUAGAGGAGGUAAACCAUCAAACGCUUGUUCAGCAUUUUCUGAGAUUAACAGGCUCACAUUUUUGGCGUCCCCAUGGGACAGUAGACUUAUUGAUUGGAAUUGAUUACUGUGGUCUUUUGCCACAAGUUAUUGAGACUACUGGAAACCUUCAGUUAAUGCAGAAUUCCUUUGGGUAUAUACUGAGAGGAUCUCGCCCUUCUCUAGGAGUUACAAAUACAUCAGUACUCAGGCAUGUGCAAGUCAACCAUGUUAGCAUUGAAGACUAUCAGUAUAUUGAACCGGUGACUAAAUCAGGGACCAAGGAAAAUUUAGAAAAUUUUUUCUCAUUAGAAAAUCUGGGAAUAUCCUGCAACCCAAAAUGUUCAGGAUGUAAAUGUGGCAACUGUGUGCACAGGGACAAGGACUUUAGUUUGAAGGAGGAACGAGAGAUGGAAGUGAUAACGAAGGGCUUACAGUAUAAUGAUGAUUCUAAACAAUGGACAGUUUGUUACCCAUGGGUGAAGGACCCCUUGAAUUUGCCAAAUGUUUCCUCUGCCAUUGCCAGACUAAACGUCUCUCAGAAGAAACUGCUGAAGCUCGGCAAGAAUUAUUGUGAGGCGUAUCAGGCACAAAUAGACAAUAUGGUCAAGCGAGGAGUAGCCCGGAAGCUGUUCUGGAGAGAAAUAACACAAUACAAGGGUCCAGUUUUUUACAUACCACAUACAGGGGUGAGGAAGCCAGACCGGAUUGAGACAGUGAUCACGCACACCCGGUUUAAUGCAGAUAAAGUGGAUAUUAUUGAUGUGAACAAGUUUGGCAGUUACAGGGAAAUGAUAAGGAUAACUAGCAGAAUUCUAAAUGCCAAGAAAGAGAAGUCCCUUCGUACAAUUUCUAUUUCUCCAACCAUCGAUGACUUAUUAACAGCAGAGAAUUGGUAUGUGAAGCGGGUGCAGACUACUUUACAUCCUGAUUGGGAAAAUCAUUACUGCUGGCUGGGACCAGUCAUGAGGAAGGAUGGCAUCAUCACAGUAGGAGAGCACAUCCCUAAGUGGUUGAAAGACAAUUACAAUCAAAAUGAGUAUAUUUUGCUGCCUCCCAACCAUGCCUUUACGAGAUUAUAUGUGAGGUAUGUGCAUGAGAUUGACCAUUCUGGCAUUGAGUCCACCCUUGCCAAAAUACAAACCAAGUACUGGAUUCCCACUGUGUGCAAACUCAUAAGAUCGGUCAAGGAAAGAUGCAUUCAUUGUCGUAGAUUGAGGAAAGUUGCUGAAGGUCAAAUAAUGGGGCAACUUCCCCCCGAACAUUUGAAACCCUCACCACCAUUCAUGAACACUGCUGUAAAUCUCUUUGGCCUCUUCAUGGUUAAGGAUACCGUCGGCGUACUAAGCAUAAGGCUUACGGGGUGAUUUUUAAUUGCCUUGCAACAAGGCCUGUUUAUAUUGACUUGGUGGAAGGGUAUGGGACUAAAGACUUCCUUGAUGCCUUCAGACAAUUUUGCUCUAUACAUGGGUACCCAUCCAAAGUGUUUUCGGACCAUGGUACUCAACUUGCCUCUGCCAACAAAAAAACUGAGGGCGAUGAUUACAAAUUGGAACAAUCAGGAAAUUGAAGAUCUCUGUGUUGGUGGGAACCAUACUAUUCUAUGGGUACACAAUAAAUCUGCAGACGCACCCUGGCAAAACGGGUGCAGUUAAGUUCUCAUCAAAUCUGUAAAGAGGUGUUUGGUGACUGCCAUCAAUGAUAGUGUCUUGAGUUUCAGUGAACUGCAAACUGUACCUUUCGAAAUUGCCAACCUCUUGAAUGAAAGGCCAUUUGGGAUCAAACCUGGAUGUGAUCCAGAACUCGGCAACUACCUCUGCCCGAACGGUUUGCUUUUAGGACGUACAUUCAACAAGGCAGUAAGUGGACCGUUCUCGAAAGCUGAUUAUGGGCAUCGCCUUACAUUCAACCAGAGAAUUGUUGAGUCUUUCUGGAAGAAAUGGAUUAGGGACUUCUUUCCAACACUCUUGAUUCGCCAAAAGUGGCAUAUAGAGCAGAUAAGUCUGAAGAUUGGAGAUAUUGUGUUUUUCCAGGAUAAUGCACUGGUGGGUCAUUGGAAGCUAGCAGAAGUGAUAGGCGUUGAUGACAGCAAGGACAACCGGGUGAGAGAUGUCACUCUGAGAUAUAAACCAGAUGGUGAUUGUAAACGAGACAGAAAGGAUAUUAUCAUAAAAGAGAUCUGCUCAUAAAAUUUCCCUUCUUUUUCCAGUGGAAGAGAGAAACGUGUAAUUAUUCCGUCCUCCUCAUGGAUGCUGAAUUGGCUGACUUAGUUUGUGGGGGCUUUUGGACAUCCAGCAUCACACGCUUUCAGAGACACUUGUGGCAAUGCAGACGGACAGGUUGAGGAUGGAGGAUACCGUAACAUUUACAGCACAAAAUGGUGUAAAGUUUCUUUUUUGUGAAAGGUGUAGGUAGUGCGGACAGCUUCAAACAUAGGAAUGUGUCAUUAUAUUCAUGGAUUUUAUGCCGAUAUUGUGGUCGCCUUUGUGUGCAUCAAUUAAUUCAGUUUGACAUACAUGUAUAUUUGACUAGGAAUAACAGUUUGUUGAAUUUAUAAGUGAUGAAUUUAUAAUUCAUUAAGGUUAAUUAUAAAUGAUGUAUUAUGAAGAUUGUUCAAAAUGUUCCUAGCAUAGCCUGUGUUUAUUACUAUCAUCUAGUCCAGUCAGUCUCUGUUUUUAACAUUCAUCAUGGUGUUUCGAGGGACAGCAUAUUUGUAUAAAAAUUGUAUUGACUUGAAAUGUAUUCCCAAGACAUUGAAAAGCCAUGGUAAAUGCUUUAAGAAGAAAACAUGUUAAGUUGAAAAUUUCCCGUAGACUUUUGUGAAGAAAUUUCACAUGAUUUUUGAAAUUGUUAAGUUGAAAGUUCCCCUAGGCUUUUAUCAAGAUACUGAAAUUGUAUAGUAAAAGUCAAGGUGCUUAAAUUCUUGAAAGGUGCUUAUUUCAGAAUAAUGUAUAAGUUCCCCUAGACUUAUCAGGAUUUUUUAAUUUAUCUAAAAACAAGUUGAAAAGUUUCCCCUAGACCUUUUGUCAGGAAUGCCUCAAAAUUGUGCUGUACAAGUGCGCAGUACUCAGAUAAUGUAAUAAAUUUUCUGUGUUGAAUAAAAGUGAAGUUAGGGAG